CUGUGGGGGAAGCAUUCAAUUAGAAAGAAGCAGCAGGGAGUAGCCAAUCAGGGCCCAACAGGGCCAUAUAAAAUGAGCUGCAGUACUAGAGAGAGUUAGUUGCUGCCUGGAGCUGGAGGAGUGAGGACUGUGUUCCUGGCUGGCUGGCUGGCUGGCUGAAGGAGCAGCAGGACCAUGGACAGAUCAGUUGCUGGCAGGGAUUGGAGGAGCAAGAGGGAGCUCCUGGCUGGCUGCUGGGACUGACUACAAGACUUCUGCCCUAUGCUGCUUCUGCAAUGAAGUGAUGACCUCUGGCGUGAUAUCCUUUUCUUCUCUGCUGCCAUUCGAACAGCAAGCAGUAUGUUUUGAAUGAUAUCCCUUUAAUUGGAAAAGGGAUGGACUAUUGGAACCCCAGUUUUCCAUAAAGGCUAGGAGAACGCAAUUGGAUCAGGGCAAUGUGAAAAAGAAGAAAACUACCUACAGUGAUCUCAGCACAGCUUUUUGAAGAAAAGAGCCUGAAGAAAAAGUGAGGGGAAAAAUUAAGAGGGUAAAGUGUGAGAGGAAAAUAGUGUAAGACAUAAAAGGAAAAGAGUUAGGGAAAGGAAGAGAACCAAAGAGGAAACCACCCAACACAUGGAGAAAGUAGAAAUACAGAAAGAAUAUACUCACACAAAAAUCCACCCAACAAAAUAAAUGAGCUCCUGCUUGUUGUUCUCACUCUCUUUGCAUGGUUUGAAUUGCUAUCUGACUUAUCUUUUUUUAAAUAUAAAAAUAAAGCCUAUUCAUUUUGCUCCA